rnacentral:rRNA from 1 species
CAGCCGCCGCGGGAAUACGAAGGGUGCAAGCGUUAAUCGGAAUUACUGGGCGUAAAGCGUGCGUAGGCGGUGAGUUAAGUCUGCUGUGAAAUCCCCGGGCUCAACCUGGGAAUGGCAGUGGAUACUGGCUCGCUAGAGUGUGUCAGAGGAUGGUGGAAUUCCCGGUGUAGCGGUGAAAUGCGUAGAGAUCGGGAGGAACAUCAGUGGCGAAGGCGGCCAUCUGGGACAACACUGACGCUGAGGCACGAAAGCGUGGGGAGCAAACAGGAUUAGAUACCCGGGUAGUCCCUGUCUCUUAUAC